AUCACAUUGGUAUUUUAACAGUGUUAUUGUAAGAGUUUAAAUGUUUAAACAGAGGAUACAUCUAAAACAGGAUAAAACAAGUGCAGUAUGUUCUGAGAAUGUUACUGUUUGUCCAGUGUGUGUGUGUGUGUGUUUGUCCAGUGUGUGUGUGUGUGUGUUUGUCCAGUGUGUGUGUGUGUGUGUGUGUUUGUCCAGUGUGUGUGUGUGUGUGUGUUUGUCCAGUGUGUGUGUGUGUGUGUGUGUCCAGUGUGUGUGUGUGUGUGUGUGUGUGUCCAGUGUGUGUGUGUGUGUCCAGUGUGUGUGUGUGUGUGUCCAGUGUGUGUGUGUGUGUCCAGUGUGUGUGUGUGUGUGUCCAGUGUGUGUGUGUGUGUGUCCAGUGUGUGUGUGUGUCCAGUGUGUGUGUGUGAGUCCAGUGUGUGUGUGUGUGUGUUUGUCUAGUGUGUGUGUCCAGUGUGUGUGUGUCUGUGUGUAUCCAGUGUUUGUGUGUGUGUGUCCAGUGUGUGUGUUUGUCCACUUUGUUUGUCCAGUGUGUGUGUGUGUGUGUGUCCAGUGUGUGUGUGUGUGUGUGUGUGUGUGUAUUUUUGUUUGACCAGUGUGUGUGUGUGUGUGUGUGUGUGUGUGUGUGUGUGUGUCCAGUGUGUGUGUGUGUGUGUGUGUGUGUGUGUGUGUCCAGUGUGUGUGUGUGUAUGUGUGUGAGUCUGUGUGUGUUUUCGUUUGUCCAGUGUGCGUGUGUCCAGAAUGUGUUUGUGUGUGUUUGUUCAGUGUGUGUGUUGAGUGUGUGUGUCCAUUUUGUGUCCAGUUUGUGUGUGUUCAGUGUGUGUUCAGUGUGUGUUCAGUGUGUGUGUGUGUGUGUGUGUGUGUGUGUCCAGUGUGUGUGUGUGUGUGUCCAGUGUGUGUGUGUGUGUGCCCAGUUUGUUGUGUGUGUGUGUGUUUGUGUGUGUUUGUGUGUGUGUGUUUGUGUGUGUGUCCAGUGUGUGUGUGUGUGUGUGUGUGUGUGUGUUUGUCCAGUGUGUGUGUGUGUGUGUGUGUGUGUGUGUGUGUGUGUGUG
rnacentral:lncRNA from 1 species